rnacentral:rRNA from 1 species
CGUCCAUAGCGACGGCGAUGUUCGGCACCUCGAUGUCGGCUCAACUUAUCCUGGGGCUGAAGAAGGUCCCAAGGGUUUGGCUGUUCGCCAAUUAAAAAGUUACGCGAGCUGGGUUCAGACCGUACAGCAGUGAUCAGUGCAUAGUGAGCAGUGAUGAGAAUAUGAAAUAUUUUUUCUAACCACUACAUACUACACACUUGUAACUAUUGUACCGUCUGAAUCCUCAAACAUAACAGACAGAACAAAAUCAAGGUCUUUUCGUCUAAGAAAUAAUAUAUAAGAUAGAAUCAAUCACAUCACGGCGGUCGUGCAACGAAAUUUGCAUAGAUCCAGUUUGCUAUAUCGGUGAAACCCUACUAGGGCAAUACCGAGGGAAGUCAUACCUAGUGUGACCCCGUAGAGACUAAACGCAAACCAUCCUCGUCAUAUUCAUAUGAACGGAUGAAGAUAUAGUCCAAUGCAUUUGGUAACAAAUGAUAACAUGCGUGAGACAGGUUGGUCUCCUAUCUACUGCGGGCGUUGAUAUUUGAGGAAAUUUGUCCCUAGUACGAGAGGACCGGGAUGAACUGACCUCUGGUCUACCAGCUGUUUCGCCAGAAGCACCGCUGGGUAGCUAUGUCGGGCAUGGAUAACCUCUGAAAGCAUCUAAGAGGGAAGCCAAUUCCAAGAUCAGAUAUCAUAGGGUCCUGAGAGAUGAUCAGGUUGAUAGGCACUAGGUGUACGCACAGUAAUGUGUUAUAGCCGAGGUGUACUAAUUACCCAUCUCCUAUUAGGA